rnacentral:rRNA from 1 species
UACGGAGGGUGCGAGCGUUGUCCGGAAUCAUUGGGCGUAAAGGGCGCGUAGGUGGCCCGGUCAGUCCGUGGUGAAAGCGCGGGGCUCAACCCCGCGUCGGCCAUGGAUACUGCUGGGCUGGAGCACUGUAGAGGCAGGCGGAAUUCCGGGUGUAGCGGUGGAAUGCGUAGAGAUCCGGAAGAACACCGGUGGCGAAGGCGGCCUGCUGGGCAGUUGCUGACACUGAGGCGCGACGGCGUGGGGAGCAAACAGG